GUCGGGAUAGCUCNGUCGGUAGAGCAGAGGACUGAAAAUCC
rnacentral:tRNA from 1 species